CUGGGCAGGCUGUCAAGGAAGGCUGGUACAGACUGUCAAGGGUAGGUCAAUACAGGUUGUCAAGGUGGGCUGGUACAACUGUCAAGGGUAGGUCAGUACAGGCUGUCAAGGGUAGGUCGGUGCAGGCUGUCAAGGGUAGGUCGGUGCAGGUUGUCAAGGUGCUACAGGCUGUCGAGGGUAGGUCAGUACAGGCUGUCAAGGGUAGGUCAGUACAGGCUGUCAAGGGUAGGUCAGUACAGGCUGUCAAGGGUAGGUCGGUGCAGGUUGUCAAGGUGCUACAGGCUGUCGAGGGUAGAUCAGUACAGGCUGUCAAGGGUAGGUCGGUGCAGGUUGUCAAGGUGCUACAGGCUGUCAAGGGUAGAUCAGUACAGGCUGUCAAGGGUAGGUCGGUGCAGGUUGUCAAGGUGCUACAGGCUGUCGAGGGUAGAUCAGUACAGGCUGUCAAGGGUAGGUCAGUACAGGCUGUCAAGGGUAGGUCAGUACAGGCUGUCAAGGGUAGGUCAGUACAGGCUGUCAAGGGUAGGUCGGUGCAGGUUGUCAAGGGUAGGUCGGUGCAGGUUGUCAAGGUGCUACAGGCUGUCGAGGGUAGAUCAGUACAGGCUGUCGAGGGUAGAUCAGUACAGGCUGUCAAGGGUAGGUCGGUGCAGGUUGUCAAGGUGCUACAGGCUGUCAAGGGUAGAUCAGUACAGGCUGUCAAGGGUAGGUCGGUACAGGCUGUCAAGGGUAGGUCGGUGCAGGUUGUCAAGGCGUGCUAACCCAAACAAGGGCUCGCAUCUCGACAGCACGGCCCUUGACAGCCCUUUUCUGGUGUCUCCUGGCGUGGCCCUCCCUCCUGUGGCACUGUUAUGGCGUCACUGUGCCUUGUAUCACUGUAUUUAAGUAGAAAAUAAUGGUGAAAUAAUGAUGCUGGGGAUGGGAGGCGGACAGCGUGCCUCCUCCUCUUCCUCUUCUUCUUUUUGACAAGCUUUUGGG